AUUGAACGCUGGCGGCAGGCUUAACACAUGCAAGUCGAGCGGAGAGAGGUAGCUUGCUACUGAUCUUAGCGGCGGACGGGUGAGUAAUGCUUAGGAAUCUGCCUAUUAGUGGGGGACAACAUUUCGAAAGGAAUGCUAAUACCGCAUACGUCCUACGGGAGAAAGCAGGGGAUCUUCGGACCUUGCGCUAAUAGAUGAGCCUAAGUCGGAUUAGCUAGUUGGUGGGGUAAAGGCCUACCAAGGCGACGAUCUGUAGCGGGUCUGAGAGGAUGAUCCGCCGGGCUGGGACGGAGCCACGGCACAGACUCCUACGUGAAGCAGCAGUGGGUAAUAUUGGACAAUGGGCGGAUGCCUGAUCGAGCCAUGCCGGGUGUGUGAAGAAGGCCUUAUGGUUGUAAAGCACUUUAAGCGAGGAGGAGGCUACUUUAGUUAUUACCUAGAGAUAGUGGACGUUACUCGCAGAAUAAGCACCGGCUAACUCUGUGCAACACGCCGCCGUAACAC
rnacentral:rRNA from 1 species